ensembl:lncRNA
UACUGAAUGAAGAAUCUGUUGAUGGAGAAAAUGGCGCAGUGAAUGACGAGUGUAAUGAGGCAUCUGGCAUCCAAACUAAAAAACAGAAAUGCUCCAAAAAGUGCAAGAAGGAAGAACAGGAACUUACAAAAUGUAAACAGAAGACUAAAAAGAGCAAAAAAUCACAGCAAGGUAGUGGAUUUUUUCUUUUUUUUUCUUUUGGAGGAGGAUUUUACAAUGCAUUACAAUUGAUUUUUCAAAGUGCUCACUGAAAAUGUAUGUUUGUUUUGUAAAAUUCAUCUGAUUUUUAUGUUCUACACAGAGUGUACUGGAUCUGAGCUGGGUGCUGACUGUAGUGAAGUCUCCUUAACAGACCCCGGUGCUGAAGAUGAUCAAGGGUAUGUAAAAUUCUUACCAAAGUCAGAGAUUUUCUUUCAGCAGUGCUCUAAUUGCAAAUCUUUAUUACAUAGCUCCUCCAAACAUUCAAAAAGGCCCAAUUUGGCAAAAAGAAAAGCCAAAAAAUGUUCAGAGCCAAAAGCAACAGUAGAGAUUGAGGAUACAGCAGAAGAAUGUCAAGAUAAGAGCUGCAGCGAAGCAGAGAAUGAGUUGAGGAUCAUCCGUCUUGCAGAGAAACAGCUCCAGAAUCAGCCGGUAGUUGUUCUGGAAAGAACUCCUUCAAGGCUAAAAGGUUCACACAGCUCAUCUGAAAGCCAAGACCAACCACAGUCCUCCCAGAGCCCGCAGCAUUCUCCUGGACGGCUGAUGAGAGCGGAAAAGGUCAAACGCAAUCUGACUGCCUCCGGUGAUGGUAGUGAAGUCUCGAAAGCAGGCCCCGGUGUUAAAGAGGAUCAAGGGGCGAAGCUCAUUCCAGAGAGCUCAACUAAGGAGAAGUUUUCACAAAGCUCCUCCAAACAUUCUCCUGGGCGGCAGACGAGAGCAGACAAGGUCAAGCACAAUCUGACUGCUUCAGAAGGGGAUCAGAUAGACCAGUGUCAUACUGGCUCACAUCCAUCACCAGACGACAUGAGCAGCACUACCAUGCUGAAUCAACUGGGCAUCCAGGACUCUGAAGAGAUGGAGGAUGAUCAACGCAUGGAGGAGGAUUUAAAUUUACAUCGUUUAGAGUUUUUAACUCCAUCUGAAGUAAAUGGUGAGUAUGCUUUCAUACUGAUGUUUUUAUAUUUAUUUCGUCGUAGUAAAACCAGUUAG